rnacentral:rRNA from 1 species
AUUGAACGCUGGCGGCAUGCUUUACACAUGCAAGUCGAACGGCAGCGGGUCCUUCGGGAUGCCGGCGAGUGGCGAACGGGUGAGUAAUGCAUCGGAACGUACCGUGUAAUGGGGGAUAACGUAGCGAAAGUUACGCUAAUACCGCAUACGCCCUGAGGGGGAAAGCGGGGGAUCGCAAGACCUCGCGUUAUACGAGCGGCCGAUGUCGGAUUAGCUAGUUGGUGGGGUAAAGGCCCACCAAGGCGACGAUCCGUAGCGGGUCUGAGAGGAUGAUCCGCCACACUGGGACUGAGACACGGCCCAGGCUCCUACGGGAGGCAGCAGUGGGGAAUUUUGGACAAUGGGGGCAACCCUGAUCCAGCAAUGCCGCGUGUGUGAAGAAGGCCUGCGGGUUGUAAAGCACUUUCAGUGGGGAAGAACAGAUUCGGGUCAAUACCCCGGAGCCCUGACGUUACCCACAGAAGAAGCACCGGCUAACUCCGUGCCAGCAGCCGCGGUAAUGUGUG